AGAGUUUGAUCCUGGCUCAGAGUGAACGCUGGCGGUGUGGAUUAGGCAUGCAAGUCGAGCGAUCCUUGUGGAAGUCUUUGCGAACUGCUUGCAGGGAGCAAAGACGGGAGCGCUGGAUAGCGGCAAACGGGUGAGGAACACGUGAGUAAUUUGCCUAAAAGUCGAGAAUAGCUUCGUGAAAACGGAGGUAAUGUUCGAUGUGCCCUUAUGAUCGCAUGGUUAUAAGGGUAAAGGUGGGGACCGUAAGGCCUGCCGCUUUUAGAUGAGCUCGCGUCCUAUCAGCUUGUUGGUGGGGUAACGGCCUACCAAGGCAUUUGACGGGUAGCUGGUCUGAGAGGAUGGUCAGCCACACUGGGACUGAGACACUGCCCAGACUCCUACGGGAGACUGCAGUCGAGAAUCUUUAGCAAUGGGCGAAAGCCUGACUAAGCGACACCGCGUGAAGGACGAAGGUUUUCGGAUCGUAAACUUCUUUUAUCAGGAAAGAAACUCCGCCAACUAAUAUUUGGCGGACUGACGGUACCUGAUGAAUAAGCCACGGCCAACUCCGUGCCAGCAGCCGCGGUAAUACGGAGGUGGCAAGCGUUACUCGGAUUUAUUGGGUGUAAAGGGCAAGUAGGCGGUCUAUUAAGUGAGGGGUGAAAUCUUCCGGCUCAAUCGGAAAACUGCCUUCCAAACUGAUAGACUUGAGAUUGGAAGAGGGAAAUGGAAUUAGCGGUGUAAGGGUGAAAUCUGUAGAUAUCGCUAAGAACACCAGCGGCGAAGGCGAUUUCCUGGUCCAAUUCUGACGCUUAAUUGCGAAAGCUAGGGUAGCGAACAGAAUUAGAUACUCUGGUAGUCCUAGCUGUAAACGAUGAGCACUAGGUGUUGGUCCUUCGGGAUCAGUGCCGCAGCUAACGCAAUAAGUGCUCCACCUGGGGACUACGGCCGCAAGGCUAAAACUCAAAGGAAUUGACGGGGACCCGCACAAGCGGUGGAACAUGUGGUUUAAUUCGAUGCUACGCGAAGAACCUCACCAGGGCUUGACAUGUAUGCAGUAGUGAACCGAAAGGGGAACGAGCCGUUAAGUCCGGAUACAUACACAGGUGCUGCAUGGCUGUCGUCAGCUCGUGUCGUGAGAUGUUGGGUUAAGUCCCGCAACGAGCGCAACCAUUGCCCCAUGUUGCUACCCCCAAAAUCAGCUUGCUGAAUUUGGGGCGCACUCUUGGGGGACUGCCUGGGAUAACCAGGAGGAAGGUGGAGAUGACGUCAAGUCAGUACGGCCUUUAUGCCCUGGGCUACACACGUGUUACAAUGGUAGGUACAGAGGGUUGCCAACCCGUAAGGGGGAGCUAAUCUCAAAAAACCUGCCUCAGUUCGGAUUGGAGUCUGCAAUUCGACUCCAUGAAGCUGGAAUCGCUAGUAAUGGGAGAUCAGCUCGCUCCCGUGAAUACGUUCCCGGGUCUUGUACACACCGCCCGUCAAGCGAUGGAAGCCGGGAGUACCCGAAGUCCUGUGUAGGCAGGCCGAAGGUAAAACUGGUGACUGGCGCUAAGUCGGAACAAGGUA
rnacentral:rRNA from 1 species